UACGUAGGGUGCGAGCGUUGUCCGGAAUUAUUGGGCGUAAAGAGCUUGUAGGCGGUCUGUCGCGUCUGCUGUGAAAAUCCGGGGCUCAACCCCGGACUUGCAGUGGGUACGGGCAGACUAGAGUGUGGUAGGGGAGACUGGAAUUCCUGGUGUAGCGGUGAAAUGCGCAGAUAUCAGGAGGAACACCGAUGGCGAAGGCAGGUCUCUGGGCCACUACUGACGCUGAGAAGCGAAAGCAUGGGGAGCGAACCGG
rnacentral:rRNA from 1 species